GCCGGUGUAGCUCAGUUGGUAGAGCAACUGAUUUGUAAUCAGUGGGUCGGGGGUUCGAGUCCUCUCACCGGCU
rnacentral:tRNA from 1 species